UUAGAAAAAUAGGACUUGAACCUACACAUAAAGACUCAAAAUCUUUAGCACUUCAUUAUGCUAUUUUCUA
rnacentral:tRNA from 1 species